rnacentral:rRNA from 1 species
GACGAACGCUGGCGGCGUGCUUAACACAUGCAAGUCGAGCGGUAAGGCCCUUUCGGGGGUACACGAGUGGCGAACGGGUGAGUAACACGUGGGUGACCUGCCCUCAGCUCUGGGAUAAGCCUGGGAAACCGGGUCUAAUACUGGAUAUGACUCCAUGACGCAUGUUGUGGGGUGGAAAGCCUUGUGCGGCUGAGGAUGGGCCCGCGGCCUAUCAGCUUGUUGGUGGGGUGANGGCCUACCAAGGCGACGACGGGUAGCCGGCCUGAGAGGGCGACCGGCCACACUGGGACUGAGACACGGCCCAGACUCCUACGGGAGGCAGCAGUGGGGAAUCUUGCGCAAUGGGCGAAAGCCUGACGCAGCGACGCCGCGUGAGGGAUGACGG